rnacentral:lncRNA from 1 species
GGUUGCCUGGCUUCUGCCUAGCAGAUAUUUCUGGAGUAGAAAUGUAUCUGUCUACAAACUAUUAUCCUUUUUCUCCGUUACUAAAAUGCUAUUAAGAGAAAGUAGGCCACCACACCCAGCAAUGUUUUCUUAAUAAGUAUAGUUUUUCUAGGGAAAGUUAAUUCAUUUUUGUCUAGUACAUAUAUGUAAAUAUAUUAAUGUUGUUUUUGUGUUUGUGAUGUAGUAAGGAGAUGUACAUAGAAAUUCAUUGAGGUAUAUAGAUACUCAUCUGUCUAGGCAGUUCCCAAUUUUCUGAAGAAUGUUUUACAGCAAAAUUUUCUAUUUUCUUUUAUUAAAUAGUGACACGUCAAACAAUGUCACAUCCAAAACACUAGUUUCAUCAAUUUCUAGCAGUAAUAAUAGACUUGCUGUAAGUAUUGUUUUCUGAUGCCAUACCCUUGUCAUACAUAUUAUUAAAUGACCAAUAUUAUGUAUGAAGUAGACAAAAAAAUUUACUCAAACUUCAUUCAAAUCCUAAUUGUGAUAAUUUUUGUUUUAUAUUUAAUUAUAAACCAAAAUACAUUUGCAUUUUUAAGCUAAUUUGUCUCAAAAUUUUGCUUUAUAUUUUUGGAUCAGGUUAAAGUCCUGUGGAUCCCCUGAAUGUUAUUGUCCCUCUUGAUUGGUUUUUAC